UACGAAGGGGGCUAGCGUUGCUCGGAAUCACUGGGCGUAAAGCGCACGUAGGCGGCUUUUUAAGUCAGGGGUGAAAUCCUGGAGCUCAACUCCAGAACUGCCUUUGAUACUGAGAAGCUUGAGUCCGGGAGAGGUGAGUGGAACUGCGAGUGUAGAGGUGAAAUUCGUAGAUAUCCGCAAGAACACCAGUGGCGAAGGCGGCUCACUGGCCCGGUACUGACGCUGAGGUGCGAAAGCGUGGGGAGCAAACAGG
rnacentral:rRNA from 1 species